UACCCGGUAGUGUAACGGCAGCACAAGAGACUUUGAUUCUCUUUGUCCAGGUUCGAAUCCUGGCCGGGUAG
rnacentral:tRNA from 1 species